UGUCAAGUGAGGAUUUUUAAAUUGGACCCAAGUUGAACUUUUUCGUUUCGGAACAAAGAGCAGCAGCAGCAGAACUCGUUUUCUCGCGUGUCUGCAACAACAACAAGAGUCCCCACCCUGGCCGGGUUCUCCAGAGGAAAAGAGCCGAAGGAGUUUGAAGUCAGUAGUGCGCCAACUGCUUUGACUGCAGGAGAACCACACUGUCAAAAAAAAUCGGAAAAUUACGUCCGUGUCACGGCAGAAACGAAGUAAAAAUAGUACGGACAGACAUAAUUUUCUGUACUUUGCGUCGUAAAAUACAUUUACGGAUGAAAUUGAUAUGCGAUUUUACGUAUUUGGGAUGUAGCGCAAGUCUCUGUAACAGAUCCGUAAUUUUACAUCUCGCUUUCGGACUUUUACCUGAGUGCAUGCAUGUUAGGGGAGGAAAGCUCAGGAGAGAAUAGGGAGAGAGGCUGAAAACGUCAUCACCCACGCCAGCAACUGACAAAAUUCAACCCUCGCGCCUCGGCUGCAAUCAGUUUAGCGUCUUUCGCCACAAAGAGAACUCCUCUUUGCUGCAUCGGGCACAACAUCUCUUAAAAUCAUGGAAUAUUUUGCAGCGAAGCCGCUUAAUAUCCAGUUGGAGGCCUCCGCGAGUACUUGAAAAAUAUUGGAUUUGAAGUGAGAACUUUUGGAAUAAACUCGUCCCUCGUCAAUGGAAGUUGUGUUGGCAAUGCGCAAAAGACAGUGUUUUCAUCAACGCAAGAUACGAUCCAAAAGGAUUUUCUGAAAAAGACUACGUCAAGAGUUUCAUCUACCUCAAUAUUAAUUUUUACUUCAUGUGAGUUCUCUGUAAAUCCGUGAUUAUUAAUUUAUUGAAAAUAAAAGUAGCCAUUUAUAGCAAAAAUAAAGUUUGUGAUUUUCUGUAAAACUACCAUAAAAAUACGUAAGAAAGUAGUAAAACAAAAAUACGGACACAGUACGUAAUAUUCUGUGCGAAGGGAGAAAUUUUCUGUAACAAAUCCGUAAAAUGCAUCUACGGGAGGGGAGGCGGAAAAGUGCGGGCGCUCAGGUAAAAUCCCUUCUUGAGAAGAGACGUACUUUUACGGCAUACGCCAGAACAAUAGUUUGCACCACAGAUACGUAAAAUCGACCAUUCCAUUUU